rnacentral:rRNA from 1 species
UACGGGGGGGGCAAGCGUUGUUCGGAAUUACUGGGCGUAAAGGGCUCGUAGGUGGCCAACUAAGUCAGACGUGAAAUCCCUCAGCUUAACCGGGGAACUGCGUCUGAUACUGGAUGGCUUGAGUUCGGGAGAGGGAUGCGGAAUUCCAGGUGUAGCGGUGAAAUGCGUAGAUAUCUGGAGGAACACCGGUGGCGAAGGCGGCAUCCUGGACCGAUACUGACACUGAGGAGCGAAAGCCAGGGGAGCAAACGGG